UCCGUAGGCGGGCGUCUAAGUCAGUGGUGAAAUCUUACAGCUCAACUGUAAAAUUGCCAUUGAUACUGGAUGUCUUGAAUUAGUGUGAAGUGGUUAGAAUGUGUAGUGUAGCGGUGAAAUGCAUAGAUAUUACACAGAAUACCAAUUGCGAAGGCAGAUCACUAACACUAUAUCGACGCUGAGGGACGAAAGCGUGGGGAGCGAACAGGAUUAGAUACCCUGGUAGUCC
rnacentral:rRNA from 1 species